AUUGAACGCUGGCGGCAGGCCUAACACAUGCAAGUCGAACGAGUGGGGGAGGGGUGAGUAGUGUCGGGGAAAGUGCCUGGGGGAGGGGGAUAACUUGUGAACACGGUAGAUAAUACCGCAUACCAACAGAUGCGCCGAGAUGGGAUUAGCUAGGUGGUGGGGUAACGGCUCACCAAGGCGACGAUCCCUAGCUGGUCUGAGAGGAUGACCAGCCACACUGGAACUGAGACACGGUCCAGACUCCUACGGGAGGCAGCAGUGGGGAAUAUUGCACAAUGGGCGCAAGCCUGAUGCAGCCAUGCCGCGUGUAUGAAGAAGGCCUUCGGGUUGUAAAGUACUUUCAGCGGGGAGGCGUUACCCGCAGAAGAAGCACCGGCUAACUCCGUGCCAGCAGCCGCGGUAAUUC
rnacentral:rRNA from 1 species